AGAUCAUGUUGAGGGCAACUUCUAAGUAAGCCCUUAUAUUUUUUUCAUGCUUCAUAUAGUGACUCUCCAACAUCUUAUUGAAAAUUAGAAAUCUUCUUCUUGAGGUU